CAAAUAUAGAACCAAUGCAGUUUUAAUUAGAAGUAUGUUACUACAGAUAUAGUGUGAAAGAUGUGGCAUUUUUUAAAUUUUAGAAUAAAUUAUAACUACAACAUGUAUUAAAAUAUGCUCUUUAUUUUAGAAAUAAUAAUUUAGCACUUUAAAAAAAAAAUAAUACUAAGGAUUGGUAGUGCCCUACUUCCAUUAAGGUUUAAUUAGCAGGUAAGUUUUAAUGUUGGAGGGUGGUUGUUGUUAUCUUCAGAUAUCUACAUACAUUUCUGAACAACUCUGGCACUGGGACUGUUCUGCAUGCUAAAAUCACUUUUUGUUUUUGUUUUUGAGAUUUGAUGGACACUUCUUAUGACUUAAUUAUGGGUAGCUUAAAUACUGUACUGAAAAAAUAUGUAUGGUAAGAUUAUAGUUUUGUCUUACUAAUGACUUAAUAAUGCCCAUCUCUCAAUUUUACUUAUGGUCUCUUCUACUUCUUUCUGAAUAUGAUUAGCAAACUCUACUCCACUAUCCAAGUUAUGGAUUAAAGUGUACACAUCCAACAGUAUUAGAUAUGGGACAGACCCCUGCUGUAUUCUACUCAAUGCUGCCUCACAGUUUGACAGUUAGAAGGAGCCCUUGGAUGGGAGAGCUGGAAGAAAAAUCCAAAGACUGGAGGAAGGUGACCUUUGUAACAACGUUACAUCUUUCUUUCUGAGAUGCUGAAUAUGCUACUCUGAUGGAGGCCAGUGUGAGGAGAAAGGAAAUCGGCACCUUGCUUGAGGAGAGAGGAAGUCACUCAGCAUCUUGCAACUGCAACACAGUGUUUUCCCAUGUCUGCUGGUGGAAACAGCAGUUUCCUUUACAACAUUUCUGAAAACACAACACAGAUGUUUAUAACAGUCCUGUCAAAUGUUCAGUGUGAAAAGUUCCUGCCCAAUACAGAAGUGUGAAAAUGAACUCCCCACCACCAACAGGAUCAAGAUUGUGCCCAACUCCUGCACAGGUACAUCCCUGAGAGACACCUUAAGCCUUCAGCUUAUCCAUAAGACUAAAUCAUGACAAGCAGUGAGGAGUAGGAGGACCUACCUCCUGCUCCUCUGUCCUUCUCAAGUCCCUUUGUAUUACUCUUUGCAAUAAAAGUUUAGAAGUUAAAAAGGAUUUGGGCUGUUUUCCCCCAUCACCUUCCAGCUGCUGCCACAGAAGACUUCAAGCUACCCCUCCCUCUUCCAGCGUUCAAUUCCUACCCUGCCCUUGGGGGCAGUGGCAGGGGUGUGGUACAGCAGUGGGAGCUCACACCAACCACAGUGCUGGUAUCAUGCUGCAAGGGAGUGCUUACUGCACAGUGUGGUGGGGGGGACCCACACUGGUGGGUGGACAUGCGCCAGGGGCUGUGUGGCCCCACAGCCACUCAGAAGUUGGACAGCUCUGGCGUAGGUCCAGGGUAUCUAGAUUAAUUAAAGCUCUGGGAUGAAGACUGCUCAACAAUUUUAUUCUAUUGGCACUACCAAACUUUCUACAGUAAGUAAAGAUCAUCUGUGCAGGAAGCAGAGCUCUUCUUGGUGGCUGUUACAAGAACUAAGAACUAGGGACCAUGAAAGGGCUGGCCAUUUUCUGCUUCUGUCUGGCACAAUGCUUUGACUUGGCCUUCUCUCAGAUAAACUUACAUGUGCACAUAUAAAAUGAGCAUUACAAAAUACAGGUCCAAAACAAAUCAUUUUAUUGCUCACAUUCCUCCCCUAGGCAGAGUAUAAGAGACCUAAUGUAUUGGUACAGCUCUGCCUGAGUCUCUAUGGAUAGUAACCAGCCUGCCAUAUUUGA